GCCUAGAUAGCUCGGUUGGUUAGAGCAUGGUGCUGAUAACGCCAAGGUUGAAGGUUCAAUCACGGUAUGGGACA